UCGAGCGGUAACAGAUCUAGCUUGCUGGAUGCUGACGAGCGGCGGACGGGUGAGUAAUGCAUAGGAAUCUGCCCGAUAGUGGGGGAUAACCUGGGGAAACCCAGGCUAAUACCGCAUACGUCCUACGGGAGAAAGGGGGCUCCGGCUCCCGCUAUGGGAUGAGCCUAUGUCGGAUUAGCUAGUUGGUGAGGUAACGGCUCACCAAGGCCACGAUCCGUAGCUGGUCUGAGAGGAUGAUCAGCCACAUCGGGACUGAGACACGGCCCGAACUCCUACGGGAGGCAGCAGUGGGGAAUAUUGGACAAUGGGGGAAACCCUGAUCCAGCCAUGCCGCGUGUGUGAAGAAGGCCCUCGGGUUGUAAAGCACUUUCAGCGAGGAAGAACGCCUAGCGGUUAAUACCCGCUAGGAAAGACAUCACUCGCAGAAGAAGCACCGGCUAACUCCGUGCCAGCAGCCGCGGUAAUACGGAGGGUGCAAGCGUUAAUCGGAAUUACUGGGCGUAAAGCGCGCGUAGGUGGCUUGAUAAGCCGGUUGUGAAAGCCCCGGGCUCAACCUGGGAACGGCAUCCGGAACUGUCAAGCUAGAGUGCAGGAGAGGAAGGUAGAAUUCCCGGUGUAGCGGUGAAAUGCGUAGAGAUCGGGAGGAAUACCAGUGGCGAAGGCGGCCUUCUGGACUGACACUGACACUGAGGUGCGAAAGCGUGGGUAGCAAACAGGAUUAGAUACCCUGGUAGUCCACGCCGUAAACGAUGUCGACCAGCCGUUGGGUGCCUAGCGCACUUUGUGGCGAAGUUAACGCGAUAAGUCGACCGCCUGGGGAGUACGGCCGCAAGGUUAAACUCAAAUGAAUUGACGGGGCCCGCACAA
rnacentral:rRNA from 1 species